GACGAACGCUGGCGGCGUGCCUAAUACAUGCAAGUCGAGCGGACAGAAGGAGCUUGCUCCCGGAAGUUAGCGGCGGACGGGUGAGUAACACGUGGGCAACCUACCCUGUAGAUCGGGAUAACAUCGAGAAAUCGGUGCUAAUACCGGAUAAUCAUUUGAAGUGCAUGCUUCGAAUGUAAAAGAUGGCUCCGGCUAUCACUACGGGAUGGGCCCGCGGCGCAUUAGCUAGUUGGUAAGGUAAUGGCUUACCAAGGCAACGAUGCGUAGCCGACCUGAGAGGGUGAUCGGCCACACUGGGACUGAGACACGGCCCAGACUCCUACGGGAGGCAGCAGUAGGGAAUCUUCCGCAAUGGACGAAAGUCUGACGGAGCAACGCCGCGUGAGUGAUGAAGGUUUUCGGAUCGUAAAGCUCUGUUGUUAGGGAAGAACAAGUGCCGUUUGAAUAAGGCGGCACCUUGACGGUACCUAACCAGAAAGCCACGGCUAACUACGUGCCAGCCGCCGCCGUAAGAC
rnacentral:rRNA from 1 species